AGGGUGUAAACGCUGCAGACUUGGUGUUGGAAGUCCUUUGGGGGCAUUCAGUGCCGGAGAGAAGUUGUUAAGUCUGCUACUUGGGGAGUACGUCCGCAAGGAUGAAACUUAAAGGAAUUGGCGGGGGGAGGCACCGCAACGGGAGGAGCGUGCGGUUUAAUUGGAUUCAACACCGUAAAACUCACCAGGGAAGACUGUUACAUGAAGGCCGAGAUGAAGACUCUGCUAGAUUUUCAGAGAGGUGGUGCAUGGCGUCAGUGACU
rnacentral:rRNA from 1 species